rnacentral:rRNA from 1 species
GAUGAACGCUGGCGGCGUGCCUAAUACAUGCAAGUCGAGCGGACGGACGAGAAGCUUGCUUUUCUGAUGUUAGCGGCGGACGGGGGAGUGACACGUGGAUAACAUACCUAUAAGACUGGGAUAAAUUCGUGAAAACGGAGCUAAUAACGGAUAAUAUUUUGAACCGCAUGGAUCAGAAGUGAAAGACGGUCUUGCUGUCACUUAUAGAUGGAGCCGCGCUGCAUUAGCUAGUUGGUAAGGUAACGGCUCACCAAGGCAACGAUGCCUAGCCGACCUGAGAGGAUGACCGGCCACACUGGAACUGAGACACGGUCCAGACUCCUACGGGAGGCAGCAGUGGGGAAUAUUGCACAAUGGGCGCAAGCCUGAUGGAGCAACGCCGCGUGUGUGAUGAAGGUCUUCGGAUUGUAAAACUCUUUUAUUGGGGAAGAACAGAUGUGUAAGUAAAUCUGCACAUCUUGACGUUACCCAAAGAGAAAGCAACGGCUAACUACGUG